ACCUGACUGUCACCUGGAACAGAAACUGUGAAAAGGGCCUGGACCAGGCUGGGCUGGACACACAUGAUAUAUACACAAUAUCCUGAACUGUACUGAUCUUGGACUUUCUGUAUUCCUGUAACCAUCCUGCUGUUUGCAAAGAGCAAGGCCACGGCCUUAGGAGGGGGGUAAAUGCCAUUAAAGGAAAAUACCCACUGCCAGGCAUCCUGGGAGGAAGACUGUCCUGGGGCAGAAAUUGAGGACUCAAGACGGGGCCCUGGGAAUGACGCGGAAGUUUAUCUCUCUCUCUUUCUAUCUCUCUCUCUGUCUCUGUUUCUGUCUCUGUCUCUCUCCUCCUCCUCUCCCUGUUUUAAGAAAGUUGCGUCUGCCCUGUGAUGGAAGACAUGGUCCAAGCAAACCUUGGAGGUGGUGCUGGGCUGGGCCCUGCCAUGUGGAGCAAGCCAGGGCUGGCCAGGUGUUAUCUCCCAAGAGCACUGUCUGAUAAACCUUCUGCAGACAAUUCUCCAUCUCAGAGUCUGCUUUCAAGGAACCCAAACCAAGACAGUUUGGGCCAGAAGUGGUCCUGGGAAGCAGAAAUGGGAAUUUGGAGAGGGACCAUUUGCCAGCCAGGUAUCAGUGAAGACCCCAUAACUGGUAUAGAAGUAAGGGGAUGCGGGUUCGAUCCCUGGUCGGGGAACUAAGAUCCCACAUGCUGCGGGGCAACUAAGGCUGCACGCCACAACUAUCGAGCUUGCGUGCCUCAACUAGAGAGCCCGUGCGCUGCAAACUACAGAGGCCCUGCACUCUGGAGCCUGAGCGCCACAAGUAGAGAAAACCCGCACACCACAACUAGAGAGAAGCCCAAGCACCACAACGAAGAGACCGCGGGCACCGUAACAAAAAGAUCCCACAUGCCUCAACAAAGAUCCCGUGUGCUGCAACUGAGACCUGACGCAGCCAAAAAAAAAAAAAGGAAAAUUAAAUAAAUAAAUAUGAAAUUUAAAAAAAGAAGAACAAGUGGUGGAAGGACCACUGCCAGCACAGGUGAGUCUGAGCUUCCAUGUAGCUGUAUCACAGGUAAGUUGAGGGGAUAUGACAUAGGGCACUAGAGGUGUCUGCUCUAUCCCAUUUUACAGACGAGGCAACUAAGUAUCAGAAAGGUUAAAUAAGCUGACCGUUAACACAGAGCUGGCAAUUGGUGGGUUUGGAUUAAAAUCUACAUCUGUCUGACUUCAAAGCCUGUCUUCUCUAAUACCUGUGUUGAGUAGCUAAGGAGCCUGGAACAGAGAAAUUAAGUGGCCUCUUGCUGCAUUUUGGGUUCCCUGGGAAGCAGGCUCUGUGGCAGAGUGACGUGCAGGGAGUUGAUUGGGAAGUGCUUUCAGGAUUGGCACCCCACAGGGAGUGAAGAAGGCAGGACUGGGCAGAGAGAGAGGUUGGGCUGUGAUGCAUCACGUAGGCCUUGGACAGUCCCGCAGGUUGCUCUGGAGCUGGGGUGGCUCUUCAGGGUUGUGCCUGCUGCCAAGAGGGGGCCGAGCCUUUGUAAUCCUGUAUGGAGGCAGUCCUUGGGCUUGAGACAGGUGAUCCUUUUCAGCCAAGGGCAAUUCCUCCACGGGACUCAGCUGAGAGCCAUCAACUUUCAGCACUACCAGCUGCUGGGGGAAGCACAGCUUGAGCCCUGCAGAGGAGCUCUGGGUGAUUCACCACAAUAUCCACCACUUCUCUCCAGCCCACAGCUAGUGGCUGAGCAGGAACUUACACAUAGGUUCUCUGUCUCCAAACCUAACGAGGUUAGCCUUGUUUUUCCAGCUCCAUCACGUGCUCCCCUAUCUCAGAGUGCACGGGCAAGACCAUAGGCUCCAGCUGGGGAUCAUUGAGUGGCAAGAAAGGAAUCUCCAUCUGAGGAGAGACAAGAAAUUUCAUUCACUCAAAAAUAUUUACUGAGCGCUUACUAUAUUCCAAGCACUAAGUGUGUGAGAAAUGAGAAGGAAGUAAACAGAGGGCUUCCCUGGUGGCGCAAUGGUUAAGAAUCCACCUGCCAGUGCAGAGGGCACAGAUUCGAUCCCUGCUCCGGGAAGAUCCCACAUGCCGCGGAGCAGCUAAGCCCAUGCGCCACGACUACUGAGCCUGCGCUCUAGAGCCUGUGCUCCGCAACAAGAGAAGCCACUGCAAUAAGAAGCCCACGCACUGCA